rnacentral:rRNA from 1 species
CACCACCGGCGGACGGCUCAGUAACACGUCGGUAACCUACCCUCGGGAGGGGGAUAACCCCGGGAAACUGGGGCUAAUUCCCCAUAGGCCUGAGGUACUGGAAGGUCCUCAGGCCGAAAGGGACUUAUGUCCGCCCGAGGAUGGGCCGGCGGCCGAUUAGGUAGUUGGUGGGGUAAUGGCCCACCAAGCCGAAGAUCGGUACGGGCUGUGAGAGCAGGAGCCCGGAGAUGGACACUGAGACACGGGUCCAGGCCCUACGGGGCGCAGCAGGCGCGAAACCUCCGCAAUGCGGGAAACCGCGACGGGGGGACCCCGAGUGCCGUGGCAACGCCACGGCUUUUCCGGAGUGUAAAAAGCUCCGGGAAUAAGGGCUGGGCAAGGCCGGUGGCAGCCGCCGCGGUAAUACCGGCGGCCCGAGUGGUGGCCGCUAUUAUUGGGCCUAAAGCGUCCGUACCCGGGCCCGUAAGUCCCUGGCGAAAUCCCACGGCUCGACCGUGGGGCUUGCUGGGGAUACUGCGGGUCUUGGGACCGGGAGAGGCGGGGGGUACCCCUGUGAUAAGGGUGAAAUCCUAUAGGCCAGGGGGAC